CGGCNCGCACCAUAGAGGUGGCUCCAGCACCAAAAUCCAGUGUUCUUCUCUGGUUCCACAGACACCAAACUAUGCAACACAUCUUCUGCCCAGCUGUACCUACCGACAGAAUAAGUGAGAUCUACUUUGUUCAGAGAAAACAAGAACCUUGCCAUGCAGGAAAAGCCCAAUCCACAAUGGUCAGCCUGUCCUGCCAAGACGUGACAGUGGCAAAACUUCCUGUGGCAUCACAUACCAGACCAGGCUCUCAUGCUCCCAAUUCUACCAAAAGCCUUAAGAAAAUGACAAUUAGGAUUGGAACUGAAAAUAUUUCUCCAAUCAGCUCAAUACUUCUAUCAGGAAGAUGAAAACUCACCAAAAGUGGAGAGGACUAUCUCACAAAGAGGCUACAGAGGUGCUCAAAGGAAUUUCAUAAGUUCGAAAGCACUUUGCCUUCUUUUCUUUCCCCCCACAUUUGCCACAAAAUAGUUGUCAUGUUUUGCAUAUUUCUUUUUCUCCUCCCUUUUCUUCAUGCCCCUCUGAGCUGAGUAAAAUCAAUGUCUGAGCAGGGUUUCCCAUCCCCAGCAUUGUUGCCAGUUUCACUUUUGUGUUUAUUUACUUUCAACCUUCAACCCCCUCAACUUUGGAGAAGUUGCAUUUAGCAAAAGGAAAAGCUACCACCCCUAUAGCUCUGCUCUCAUAACUGCUGAAGCUCUCACAUUUCCAGCAACAGAAGGGUGGAAGGGGUGUUAAAUGGGGGCAAAGAGAAGCAUGGACCCUGAACUAAAUGUUGAACAGAAAGAGGGAGGAAUUUGUAGGCAGGAGAGAGAGGAUCUGAGGAGUGAGAGGAGGAGAAAAAAAGUUACAGGAGAAAAAUUAAAAUUAAAAUGCAUUUUGAUUUAACAAAAAGGAGGGUGCUAAACUCAGAUCUCUGAUAUGAACCACACUGCCAGGGACACUGGCUUGGAAGUUUCACAAUGCUCAUCUGCAGGAGUAGGUCCCUGGGACAGGCUGGCAGAUAGUCCUCAACUCCAAAGGAAACAGCAAGUCUCAAGUUUUUCUUGGCUUAACCAAAAGUUGUAAAGCAUAUUCUUCCUGCCCUCCACUUGUAUUCCGAGCUCCCCUGCGUACUUUGUUGAUGAAAUCUCUCACCCCAAUUCAGGAGAUAGCAUUUGCUAAACAUGCUCUGCCUUGCUACCAGAAGAGCUUCUGACCUUGUCCUGUCUUCUCCUUAGCGUUUGGCAAAUACUUAUCUGUACUCACUGUGACCUCCAGCCAGCUGGGUAAAAAGCUUUGGAGCCAAACAUGUGCACAAAUAAUUCCAGGGGCAGCUGUUACUACUGGAUUAUCUCUUCCUGUGGUUUCUACAGAUAGAAAUAGUUAAUACAUGUUGCAGUUUACAGUCCCUUUCCCUUUAGCAGACCAAGGACCAUCCUCCUUCAACUCAGGGCCAUUAAACCCAUCUCAACAAUGAGGGCCUUCAAUCUGGUACUCCCCUGUGUUGCCAGAUGUAUCCUAUCACAUGAAACAUAGCCCACAACAGUCAAAAUCACAAAUCACAGCCCUGCCAUCUUUAGCCAAGAAGGUCGCCAUUUAAUCACUCUUCUCAAGUUAUGUGUAACAGAGGCCAUCCUGUGUGUAUCCAAACACAGCACCCCCUCUCUCCAACCCCUCCAGCCUCCCACAGCCCAGACACGAGGUGUUUUUUCACCCUGACACAUUGAGGUCCACGCCUGCUCAGAGUUCAUUCAACCCGAAGAGCAGCAAUGACUCGCUUCCAAAAAAUGAGACUAUUAUGGCUAGAGACCAUUAUGAAAGCCUGCAUGAAGCUGAGACCAGAUGUGUCUGUGGAUGACUCCAAAUACUGCUUAGAGCAAAGCUCUGGAUUGUUUUGGUUUUGUUUUUUAAACAAAACAGGAUUGACAGAAUCUCCUCUGGAACAAGAAAGAUUUUCUGAUGUUUUUCUGCACUGCUGUUACAGAUGUGUGGCUGGGCUGGGAGCUCACACCCACUGACAGUGACCACAGCAGCUCUCAGAAGUGCAUGAAGACAUGGAAGGAGCCCUUAUGUGAUAGGAUGGAAGUGAUGGGGAUGCCAGCCCAUCUAAGUUCAGCUCAUGGUCAUUGGGACCACGUUGUCCUUUCAGCAGGAUGUUCUGUAUGAGCCCCUGGAAGUGAGAGCGAUAACAUGGCUCUGAUCGCUUUUUGCUUUUAAAGCAAACCUUUCAUCAGGGGAACCUCAAAGCAACUUGCCAGCAAGAAUGGGCACAACCUCACACUGUGCCUGUGAGAUAAGCGAAGGAUGGAAUAGAUUAACUGCUUAAAAGCACACAGCAGCUCUGUGGGAUGAAGGAAAAAUAAGAAAAAAGCCUUAUAUAUAUACAUACACGUUUGAAACCACACAGGGUUUUAUGGAGAGGCAGGCUGGAAGGCUGCCAGGAUACUGAAAUUGCCACCCCUGCACAACCACGAAUACCAUGGAAACCAGUGGGGCACUGGCAGGCAGGAAAGGAAAUAAGCUAAAAAACGGCAUUCCAUGAAACACAGCCAGGCUGGGACACUGCUCCCCUCCUGAGUGAGGGAGGCCUACGUGCCUAACCACCAGUGUUGCUGCUGGUGGGAGCUGGGCUCCAGGAGAGAGUCAUUCCCAGUAAUUUCCCGGCCUGGGGUAACGCUUUCCUGGCGGCGGCCAGUGGCUGACAGCAAAAAGAGGGAUGGCUGAAAACUGCUACAUCAUGUCAGCUGUGGUAUGGAAGUAAUGGAAACCUGGAGUGCCAAGUAAAGCUUCAACACAUGCUGGGAAGUAUAGGAAGAUCAAAGUCAGUUGACAACUGAAUAAGGACAGGGAAGGAACAUGUAUGUGCAAGCUCCUGCCUGCCCUGUCUGGUGAGGUACGAUUAAAAGGCAUGAAACACUCAUCAGUUUUCCCUCAAAACACUAAGAAAGCUCAAAAAAGGAUUCCUUUAACCUGAACAAAAGUAAGUAAAGGAGAGAGGCCUGGAAAACAAAGCCAAAAAUAACAAAUGAAACUGAAUAUAACAGGAAUAACAGAAAUAAACAAACCCAGACAAGCAGUGGAGGAGGAAUGAACACACUGUUAAUCUGUCAAGUACACGGUGCCCACAUCAAACUACACAGUAAACCCAGAGAAAUACCCAGCCUCUCGGCUGAGCAUGGGCACCUGCUUGUUACCAAACAGCACUCAACCCUUAAAAAGUUGUACUCCUGGUAAGCCAAGGGAGGAGGAAUUCAAACGUAGAACAGCUGUACUCAUUCAAAAUACUGCUAAGAGGAACAGCGGCAUCUUAUGAGUAAGCUGGAUAUGGCGCAACCAGCAGCAGGCUUGAGCAAAAAUAGCCCAGUGGAGAUGAGAGGCAAGAAGAGACACCAGUACACAGCUCUCCCUCUGGCUCUCAGCAACUGAAGGAUGCAGAUGUGAUUUCUUACAGAGCCCAGACUGAACAAAGGCAGGGGGACAUUUCUACAGGAAGGCAAAGAGGACUGAAAAACCAGAGAAGCAGCAGAGCAGCAUUUCUGCUACGCUAAAAUGCACAGAGCUACGGGCCUUCCAGUAGCCACAGGGGAGGGCUGGAAGGGGUUGGGAGCAUUGCCACGGCUGGCCCUGAUAAGGCUCUAUCUAGGAACAGGCGAGGGCUGUGCUCAUGGCCUGACCGAGAAACGGGUCUGGAGGAGUGCGAGAACAACAGGAUAACAUCAGGCACUUCUCACAUGGCUGAAGGACCGCCACUGGUCAUCAGGAGACAAGUGCAGAUGGGAGACUUUAAAGUGGUGCCAGAAAAAACAAGCUACAGCCAGGGUCGAGGAACAUGGGAUCCAACUCCUAGUUGUCAGCAGUUGUGGUGUAUACAUUGCUGGAAACAGAUGCAGUGCCAGGAAAAUCCAACUCCCAGCAUGAAAAGAAUAACUUAGGAAUGAUAAUGAGAGAAGCCAAAGCAACUGUGACUGUGAAUUAGUGAUUACAUAAAAGUUUUUAUCUUAAAGUUAUGUUGGGCCAAAUUCUGCAGUAAUUUUUUCAGCCAAGAAUGCUCCCUUGAGACCCUGUGAUUUGGCCACAAAUUGCUACAUAUUUAAAAAAACAGAAGAAAAAAAAAGCACACAACAAAACAAAGGUUUCCUCUUUAUGCUGGCUGGAAAUACAUAGCAGGCAAUAGCUUUGACUGGCAUCAAACACUUCUCCAGUAGGUAGCUGAAGUCCUCUGCUUUAUGCCACCAUCCAGCAUCACUGUAAGGGACAGGCCAGUCUUCAGGUUUUGCUCCCUUAUGCGGCUGCCACCCAGAGAAGUGGGAACUGUGGCUGUUUGGUAUGAAGACAACUACAUGCUAUUCAAGCUCUCUGAAACAAGUGAGGUACAAUCCACAUCACAAUUCCUCCCACUUGGACCUAUCAAAGCUACUCCUGAAAAACUGAAUAUACACAGUAGCCUGGGUACUGCCAUAAGGAAACAUAGCAAUCAUUGCUGCCCACCAUGUGCUGAACAGCAAUAAAAGUUUCUUUUCAAAGUAGCUGUUCUGAGUAAAAAACUACCAAUACCUCAGUGGCAGGCUCACAAGAGCAGCAAAAGGAUUCUCUCUAUUCCAUUCCAUGGGCAGUACUGGGCUCAGCAGCAGCUCUGGGCUUCACACCUGGAAGUCUGUGUAGUUUCAAGUGGGGCAUCUGCAAAUCCCAGAGCCCAGUAAGUCCCAAAGAGAUGCAGCCACAAUGAGACACCUCUCUCCUCCCAGAACCUCUCCCCAUUCCAGUUGGAGACUCAUCACAUGCACGAAACUUCCCUGCUCAUUCUUUCAAGUUGGCUUACCAGGAAUAAUAUGCUGCCAACCUGCAAUUGCUAAGGAGGUAUCAAAAAUAACAUGAGAAAGUGAAUAUUUGGAGCAGGAGACACACCCUUCCCAUGACAGAUGACCUGCUGUAAAAGCCCUUAUAAAAACAAGGGAAAUGUGCUCAAAUACCUGUUGUAAAAUCUGAAGCUUGAAUGCUGUGCAGCCAAAAAUCCUGGAAAUAGUUCUUUCAAAUCAUGCAAACACUUUGGAGAUUCUGAGAGAAGAAAUAGCUGGAAAUAGUUUUAGAUAAAAGAACCUUUCAUGCCAGCUGGCAAAAGGCAAACAGAUGGAUCAGAUAGUUGGAUAGAUGGGGCUUAAAGCCACUUUUGUCUCAGCAGUGGGCUGGGCUUGUGUAUGCAAUGUCUGAAGGCAGCAUAUCUCAUUAUCUGACCCUUAAAUGUUGGCUUUAUGAAAUCAUAUCAGAUGAAGCUGCAGCCUUCAAAAGCGUCUCUCAGCCUGGCAGGACUCUCACCUUCCUCCCAGCAGCACCUUCAGCAGGCUGGGGGCUGGCUUGGUGCUCAUGCCAACCUCUCAGGUUCUCCCCUGCUCAGAGCACCAGUCCAGGCUCUGUCAAAGCUCAGGAAGGUUUGUUAUGGUGGAGGGAUUUUCACAAAUACUUGGUCAAAACUCUUAUGUUCCCACAGUGCAACAGCAGCAGGAUAACUCCAAUGGGCAAGAAAUGAAGGAUGCUGUGAAGGCUGAAGGGAAAUCCCCCAAACUGUGUUUGAGAUGUUUAACAAAAACUCACUGAAAGCAGGACGUGAUCCACACAAAACAAACCAGGGCAAGUAUUCUGUAUUUUCUGUAGCCUGUGCAGCUUGAGUAAAGGUGAUGUUUAGUUUUAGCUGUGCUUUUGAUGCAUGAAUCUAAAGAGACCAAACUGAGCCACCUCAGAAGGGGAAUUACACCUUGUUUGAUGGGGAUGGCCCUGAGCCACGGGUUUGCACGAGCAGUUUCCUUAGAGCCAGCCAGCCGCUCCUCACCCCUUAUGUGCUUUUCUCAUAGGGUGACUCUGAUGGGGGGUAGGGCUGUCCCCAGUGAUGGAAGCUCAUUGCCUGUCAUGUUUGUCACAAAUUGCAAGGACCACAGCCCACACAGGCUCCCUCCAGCAUCUCAUCCCCUGGGACUUCAGCUGGUCACUGCCAAUGUGACAUCCCAGUUCUGCUGGAUCACCAGCCAAAGCAAACCAGGGUCUCUCUGCAGCAUCUCAACUGGUGUGAAGAGAUUACAGAAAUCUGGAAAGACUGAAAUAAGUACAUGGACCAGGAACAGUUUAACUUUCUUUUAGAAAUAUGGUUUUUGCUGUAUUUGAACUAUGCAUCCCUGAAGAUUUCAUGUCAAAAUGGAAUUGUGAAAUGAAUAUUAAAUGUUUAUCAAGAAAUUCACAGUUGAAAGUGGUCUGCAGUGACAGAUCAAAAAAGAAAUCCCCUCUGUGCCAUUUCUAUUCUCAUUUUUUCAUGACACAUUAGUUCAUCCAGAAGGACUUUAAUACUCAUCUUUAUAGAUAUUUUUGCUUUUCACAUCGGGUAUUAAACUUCGCUAUCGUGUUCAAGAAGACUCUGAGUUACCAAAGACAGGGCAGGAUUACACCAUCAAAGUUGCAACAUUGAAGCCCUGGCAUGACUAAUCCCCAAGUAAAUGGAAAAAGACCAAAGAUGGGCAGUGUUUGCAGUGGGUAGGUGCAGACCCAGACAGUCUCCUCCAGCCCACAGGUGCAUGGGAAGCAUGUCCCAUCCACACAGGAACAGCCUUGAGUCUCUGCCCCCCUCUUCCUUGGCUGCCUUUCUAGGGACAGUGGCACACGUUGCCCCUGUGGGUGGCCCUGUGGGCACAGGGGGGCUUGCCUCAUGGCUGUUCCCCUCACAUCAGAACAGUGUCUUAGGAUAAAGGGGUUGCUCCCAGGAAGAGUGUUGGAUUCUUCGUUUGCUUUCAUGAGCAAGUUCAUGGGAAAAAUCCACCUUUGCAUAAAGCAUAAAACCACUUUUUAACUGUGUCCUUUGAAAGACAUGCAAAACUAACUUCCAUGGACAAAUGGCACCUGAGCGCACAGACUUUGUGGUCCAUCUUAGAGAAGUAGCUUCCGGAAGAAGACAUCACCAAGCUGGCUUCUCUUUCCUGUAGGCAUCAUCUUGUGAUGAUUCACAGAGCCCAGCUGAAGGGCAGUGAUGAUGUGUCUGUGUGAUGCAAUGGCAGAGCUGUGUCAGAUCCAACACCAGAGCACUACUUCUCACAGUAAAGACACUCAUUUUUUGCUUGGCAGAACCAGUCUAGCCAAAAUCUAGUACAAAGUUGGCCCAAACCCUUCCCCAGCAGAGAGCAGGGCUGGCUGAUACAGGCUGCCAUGAGGGUCACUGUGGGCCCCUGUCUCUCUGUCUGAAUUCAUUAAUUAAGGGGAAGAUGAGGACAGGACUUGAUGUUUCAAGGGACUUGCCCUCACAGGGCAGCAUUUCUUGUGGUUUCUGACAUUGAGCUGACAGCACAGGGACCAGAAAAAAGAAAUAUGAAUUAAAAAUAGGAAAGAAGAAAGAUCUGCAUCUUUUGCAGGCAUGAAACUUGACUAUGGGUAGGCAAAACAGUUCAUUGCAGCAAUUUCUGAAGGUCAGGGCAUCACGAGGGGACGACAAUCAACAGCUGACAGCCAAAGGAAACCCAGAUGUUUAAGUUGCAUGUGGAGCAAAUUUGAUUGAGAAAUCAGAGAAAGAGCACAAAUUCUGUUAUUAUACAUCCAGAUUUAUUUUUUUUUAGGUUAAAAAUGCACUUGAAGCUCUUUUUUUGCAGCUUUGACCUCAGCAAACGGCAGUUGUUCAACUGUCAGUGUCAGAGUUGUGAGCUCCAGUGUUUUAUUCAAGUCUCAUGCUAGCUGAUAUUUCUGACAGCUUGGAUUUCACAUGAAUAAAUCAGCAUUUCAGGUAUUACCAGCCUAAGUUUCUAUGCAUUCUGCUAAAACAAAGGAAAAUAAACUGGUCCUACAAACAUGUAGCCAAACCCCAGAGACUGCUACCUGAAAAAA